UAGUCCAUGCCCUAUGGGUGGGGCUCACACGUCUCAAUGGUCGGUACAGAGGGUUGCCAACCCGCGAGGGGGAGCUAAUCUCAGAAAGCCGAUCGUAGUCCGGAUCGCAGUCUGCAACUCGACUGCGUGAAGUCGGAAUCGCUAGUAAUCGCGGAUCAGAAUGUCGCGGUGAAUACGUUCCCGGGUCUUGUACACACCGCCCGUCACACCAUGGGAGUGGGUUUCUCCAGAAGUAGGUAGCCUAACCGUAAGGAGGGCGCUUACCACGGUGGGAUUCAUGACUGGGGUGAAGUCGUAACAAGGUAGCCGUAUCGGAA
rnacentral:rRNA from 1 species